rnacentral:rRNA from 1 species
UACGAAGGGUCCAAGCGUUCUCCGGAUUUAUUGGGUUUAAAGGGUGCGUAGGCGGCUUAUUAAGUCAGUGGUGAAAGCCUGCAGCUUAACUGCAGAACUGCCAUUGAUACUGAUGAGCUUGAGUAUAGUUGAGGUGGGCGGAAUGUGUCAUGUAGCGGUGAAAUGCUUAGAUAUGACACAGAACACCGAUUGCGAAGGCAGCUCGCUAAACUAUAACUGACGCUGAGGCACGAAAGCGUGGGGAGCGAACAGG